AGUGAACGCUGGCGGUAGGCCUAACACAUGCAAGUCGAACGGCAGCACAGGAGAGCUUGCUCUCUGGGUGGCGAGUGGCGGACGGGUGAGGAAUACAUCGGAAUCUACUUUUUCGUGGGGGAUAACGUAGGGAAACUUACGCUAAUACCGCAUACGACCUACGGGUGAAAGCAGGGGACCUUCGGGCCUUGCGCGAUUGAAUGAGCCGAUGUCGGAUUAGCUGGUUGGCGGGGUAAAGGCCCACCAAGGCGACGAUCCGUAGCUGGUCUGAGAGGAUGAUCAGCCACACUGGAACUGAGACACGGUCCAGACUCCUACGGGAGGCAGCAGUGGGGAAUAUUGGACAAUGGGCGCAAGCCUGAUCCAGCCAUACCGCGUGGGUGAAGAAGGCCUUCGGGUUGUAAAGCCCUUUUGUUGGGAAAGAAAUCCAGCCGGCUAAUACCUGGUUGGGAUGACGGUACCCAAAGAAUAAGCACCGGCUAACUUCGUGCCAGCAGCCGCGGUAA
rnacentral:rRNA from 1 species